rnacentral:tRNA from 1 species
GGGGCCGUGGGGUAGCUUGGUCUAGCCUCCCAGCUUGGGGUGCUGGAGACCCGAGUUCAAAUCUCGGCGGCCCCACCA